UACGGAAGGCAGCAGUGGGGAAUAUUGGACAAUGGGCGAAAGCCUGAUCCAGCCAUGCCGCAUGAGUGAAGAAGGCCUUCGGGUUGUAAAGCUCUUUUAGUGAGAAAGAUAAUGACGGUACUCACAGAAGAAGUCCUGGCUAACUCCGUGCCAGCAGCCGCGGUAAUACGGAGAGGGCUAGCGUUAUUCGGAAUUAUUGGGCGUAAAGAGCGCGUAGGCUGAUUAGUAAGUUAAAGGUGAAAUCCCAAAGCUUAACUUUGGAAUUGCUUUUUAAAACUGCUAGUCUAGAGAUUGAAAGAGGAUAGAGGAAUUCCUAGUGUAGAGGUGAAAUUCGUAAAUAUUAGGAGGAACACCAGUGGCGAAGGCGUCUAUCUGGUUCAAAUCUGACGCUGAGGCGCGAAGGGCGUGGGGAGCAAACAGGGAUUAGAUACC
rnacentral:rRNA from 1 species